rnacentral:tRNA from 1 species
GGGUGGUUAGCUCAACUGGCAGAGCACAUGCUUGACGUGCAUGGGGCUAUAGGUUCAAGUCCUAUACCACCCA